rnacentral:rRNA from 1 species
ACUCCUACGGGAGGCAGCAGUGAGGAAUAUUGGACAAUGGACGCAAGUCUGAUCCAGCCAUGCCGCGUGCAGGAAGAAUGCCCUAUGGGUUGUAAACUGCUUUUAUUUGGGAAUAAACCCCUUCUCGUGAGGAGGGCUGAAGGUACCAAACGAAUAAGCACCGGCUAACUCCGUGCCAGCAGCCGCGGUAAUACGGAGGGGUGCAAGCGUUAUCCGGAAUCAUUGGGUUUAAAGGGUCCGCAGGCGGACGUAUAAGUCAGUGGUGAAAGCCUACAGCUUAACUGUAGAACUGCCAUUGAUACUGUAUGUCUUGAAUUCGGUCGAAGUGGGCGGAAUGUGUCAUGUAGCGGUGAAAUGCAUAGAUAUGACACAGAACACCGAUAGCGAAGGCAGCUCACUAGGCCUGAAUUGACGCUCAGGGACGAAAGCGUGGGGAGCGAACAGGAUUAGAUACCCUGGUAGACUGUCA